rnacentral:sRNA from 1 species
UAGAAUUCAAAUCGGAACUGUGGGUGAC